rnacentral:rRNA from 1 species
ACUUACGGCCAUACCACCCUGAACACGCCCGAUCUCAUCCUAUCUCGGAAGCUAAGCAGGGUCAGGCCUGGUUAGUACUUAGAUGGGAGACCGCCUGGGAAUACCAGGUGCUGUAAGCU